rnacentral:lncRNA from 1 species
UGGAAGCCUACAAGAAAGGUAGUCGAGAUUGAGAAGUUUUGAAAUGCAAAUGAACGAGCUUAAGCACAUAUUACACGUAGAAAUGGUGGAAAUUCGCUUUCCUGGGUCUUGGAAUAGUUCCUCCUUGGGGAAAAAUCUAGCUUGGACAUUAGCUUGAUGUAUUCAAAAUGGAGUGUUGGCGUUGGGCAGGUUCGAAAACAUCAUUAUGUUGUAACCCCAACACCAGACUCGACAGGAACUGUAUAUGGGUAAGUGGCUGGAAAUAAGAAGGAAGGCAGGACCCAAUUGGAGUCCAGGGACACAGGACAUUUUUCAAGUUCAAACAAACAAAGCAUCUCUGUUGGCUAGUUAAGUUCACCAGUCACCAGAGGAGAAAACAGACAUGCCCAAGGAGACACUAUUUCUUAGUGCCAACACUUAUAUAUAUCUUCCUGUUCACAAUUAGUCUUUGAGAGGCAGAGUAAGAUAUUGUAAAUCUAUUGUUGCACGUACUCACUGCGUAUUUAGAAGUUCUUGGGGCACUGUGUAAGUGUAGGAGAAGAUAGAUGGAGUAUCUAAUUAAUCUAAAGAUAAAAAUGAAUGAGGUAGAAUCCAUUCAGUAGACUAAUAAAUAGUUCUUAAGAUCUAGUAGGAUUUCUCUUUUGGAGUGUGGAGACAUAGUGUGGAGACAUUUGCUAAUGUAGCCAUAAAGAUAGACCUAUUGUCCAUUGCAAUGAAAGCAACAAAUACUAUAACAUAAAAUAUUUCCAAAUUGGUUUGGGUGAAAAUAAGCUUGUUUCCCAAUAAAUGUCAGAUGGCACUUGUUGUAAGAGGUAACUUUGAAGAAAUUUAAAUUAAUAUAUUAUUUCCAGCCAAAAACGUCAUGCAUUUUUAGAAGUUCACAAAAGUCUGUAAAAUAUGCACACAAAUGUCCAUCAAUUGUAAUUUAUUUCAAUAAAGAAAGGUAGCUUAUACCACUUGUGGCCAUCAGAUUUCCUAUAGACUAUGCCUCAAGAAAUUAUCUAAAUCUAAGGUGUUAGCAAAAUAGUGCUUACAUGUAUUUUAU